UGGAUAGAUUAUUGUAUUCGACUGUAUUCACGGCGUGAAACAGGGGAUUACACUGUUUUUAAACGGAAAGUGAAUUAAUUAACAUAAUAGACUCCU
rfam:Nicotiana attenuata strain TT chromosome 9, whole genome shotgun sequence.